CUCAAAAUUUUUCCAGACUCCGAAACGCGAACACUAGGGUUUCGAAACAUCAUGUCAUGUUUAACAUAGAUAUUAUGACGGCAAUAUUUACUAACCUCUAGAUAUUAUUUUUGACAAGAGUGACCAGAACACUGGCGGCCAUUUUUAUUGUUUUGCCAACAUUCGUGAGUCACAGUGUAAUAAUUGGAUAGUACUUAAUACUCAUAAGUUAUCAUGCAUUGUCCACGCAGUUGUAAAACAUAAAUAUGAAUACUGCCGAAGUACAAACUGAAGUAUAGCGCAUUGUUUCGCUUAAUUGUGAGUCAGUGUUCCUAUGCAAAAUGUGACAAAAUGUUUUGCUGGCUCAAGAUUAAUGAGGCUUGGUUAGUCAUCUCUUCCUUGGUGAGUAAUUAGCAUUAUCAAGACAUAAUGAAUUCGUCUAAUUAGCUUAUUGUGUGUAGCCUGCUUAGUAAAACCUUAGUUACAAAAAAUGUUGAGAGCUUUGGGGUUUCCGUUCUUUUGCAGAUUAUGGGUACAGUACAACCUGCAGAGUGCCCUCUACUGAUGUCACAUUUCGAAGACAAACACAUACGAGGUCUGAGGAUUCGAUUCGCUUUCUCGGUCCUAGUUUUCAAAUGCGCGAACUACAUGUUCCGAGGUCUUGUUCGUAAAAUUACUCCAGCUAGGCACAAUUCAUUGAUCUGCCGCUGAAUUCUAUGCUUAUCGAUAUCGACAAUACCUCAAAACUACGCAUUGUUCACGAAAACAAUAGUCUUAUUGCCAUUAAUACCGCAUUUCAGCUAAACUCGAGUACAAUACCAUUCUAGUGACGUAACCAGCUAUUGCCGGCAGCUGCAAAAUACAUAUAUGACUGAAUUCCGACACAAUAACAGCAACACUAACUGACCUUCGGUAGUCCUUAUGUCUCAGCAAUAAGGUUUACAAAAGGCGAAAGAACAUUGUUGAUGAUGGUACAAAGGAAGUAACAUAAGUCAUAGACUGGUUUAGUCAUAUGCAACGUGAUUAGUUAUAGAAACAGUGGUAAUUUUAACGAAUGAACUCAAGGAGGUGAAUCAUUUUCGGAUCGGAUAGCUAAUAUCCUCGGAUCUCAAAUACACGCUAGGAAUUAAAAGGAUUGUCCGGAUCCGAAGCACGUAUCGUUACAAAUCACGCAUUAUCGUUUUUUUUUUCUUAAUUUGCUACGUUGGUGGCAAGCAAGCAGAAGAGCUCACAUCGCAAAAAUCGCGGUUAAGCAGUUAGAGAAGAUCUGGAGGAACAGAGGAUUCAGCAAAGCAACCAAAACCAAGCUAAUGCGCACCCUGGUCUUCUCUAUAUUCCUGUAUGGUUCGGAAACCUGGACUCUGAAGGCGAGUACUCGGAGUAGAAUUGACGCAUUUGAGAUAUGGUGUUGGCGCAAGA